ACCUGAUGAUGUGGGCAUCUGUGGAGUAGGUCCCUAAAGCGAUCCCAAGUCUUAAAAAGGAUUUCUCUAUCCAUUUGUGAAAAACUUGUGAUGGCUCUCCGAAGCU